AGUGAACGCUGGCGGUAGGCCUAACACAUGCAAGUCGAACGGCAGCACAGUAAGAGCUUGCUCUUACGGGUGGCGAGUGGCGGACGGGUGAGGAAUACAUCGGAAUCUACUUUUUCGUGGGGGAUAACGUAGGGAAACUUACGCUAAUACCGCAUACGACCUACGGGUGAAAGCGGGGGAUCUUCGGACCUUGCGCGAUUGAAUGAGACGAUGUCGGAUUAGCUAGUUGGCGGGGUAAAGGCCCACCAAGGCGACGAUCCGUAGCUGGUCUGAGAGGAUGAUCAGCCACACUGGAACUGAGACACGGUCCAGACUCCUACGGGAGGCAGCAGUGGGGAAUAUUGGACAAUGGGCGCAAGCCUGAUCCAGCCAUACCGCGUGGGUGAAGAAGGCCUUCGGGUUGUAAAGCCCUUUUGUUGGGAAAGAAAAGCAGCAGGUUAAUACCCCGCUGUUCUGACGGUACCCAAAGAAUAAGCACCGGCUAACUUCGUG
rnacentral:rRNA from 1 species